GUAGGUGAACCUGCGGAAGGAUCAUUACAGAGUUCAUGCCCUCACGGGUAGAUCUCCCACCCUUUGAGUACUAUACUUUUGUUGCUUUGGCAGGCCGCUUCGGCUACCGGCUUCGGCUGGUAAGUGCCUGCCAGAGGACCCCAGACUCUGAAUUAUAGUGUCGUCUGAGAACUAUAUAAUAGUUAAAACUUUCAACAACGGAUCUCUUGGUUCUGGCUUCGAUGAAGAACGCAGCAUCUGACUGACUGGA
rnacentral:misc_RNA from 1 species